UUGAUUGGUGCUUGCAUCAUGAUUUACAUUUGAGUGAGUGGCGAACUGGUGAGUAACACGUGGGAAACCUGCCCAGAAGCGGGGGAUAACACCUGGAAACAGAUGCUAAUACCGCAUAACAACUUGGACCGCAUGGUCCGAGUUUGAAAGAUGGCUUCGGCUAUCACUUUUGGAUGGUCCCGCGGCGUAUUAGCUAGAUGGUGGGGUAACGGCUCACCAUGGCAAUGAUACGUAGCCGACCUGAGAGGGUAAUCGGCCACAUUGGGACUGAGACACGGCCCAAACUCCUACGGGAGGCAGCAGUAGGGAAUCUUCCACAAUGGACGAAAGUCUGAUGGAGCAACGCCGCGUGAGUGAAGAAGGGUUUCGGCUCGUAAAACUCUGUUGUUAAAGAAGAACAUAUCUGAGAGUAACUGUUCAGGUAUUGACGGUAUUUAACCAGAAAGCCACGGCUAACUACGUGCCAGCAGCCGCGGUAAUA
rnacentral:rRNA from 2 species